rnacentral:SRP_RNA from 1 species
GUCGGGUGCAGUGGCGCAUGCCUGUAGUUCCAGCUACUUGGGAGGCUGAAGUGGGAGGAUCGCUUGAGCCCAGGAGUUCUGGGCUGUAGUGCACUAUGCCGAUCAGGUGUCUGCACUAAGUUUGGCAUCAAUAUGGUGACCUCCCAGGACGGGGAUCACCAGGUUGCCUAAGGAGGGGUGAACCGGCCCAGGUCAGAAGCGAGCUGGUCAAAACUCCUGUGCUGAUCAGUAGAGGGAUCGCACCUAUGAAUAGCUACUGCACUCCAGCCUGGGCAACAUAGCAAGACCCCAUCUCU